rnacentral:misc_RNA from 1 species
UCUCCGUUGGUGAACCAGCGGAGGGAUCAUUACCGAGUUCACAACUCCCAAACCCAAUGUGAACGUUACCAAACUGUUGCCUCGGCGGGGUCACGCCCCGGGUGCGUCGCAGCCCCGGAACCAGGCGCCCGCCGGAGGAACCAACCAAACUCUUUCUGUAGUCCCCUCGCGGACGUUAUUUCUUACAGCUCUGAGCAAAAAUUCAAGAUGAAUCAAAACUUUCAACAACGGAUCUCUUGGUUCUG